UAGUUUGCGGAAAUAAAUCGGAAGCGUGCUAUUUCCGAACAACAGGAGGUGGUGGCAAAACACUUUUAUACCGCAUUUUAACAUUUUAAGGAUUUGGGGGCACGGCAGCAAACGAUAUUGUUAAUUGUUUUGUAUUACGCCUGGUAAUAACUUACGUACCAGUAAUGUCCAAAUCGACGGCGAAGCACCCGAAAGAAAACGACUCAAAACAAUUGCCAAUCUACAAGCAUAAAGCUAAACUGGUACAAGCAGUGAAAGAAAGCACUUUUUUAGUGGUCACCGGUGAGACUGGCAGCGGAAAAACGACGCAGCUUCCGCAGUAUUUGUACCAAGCAGGUUUUUGUAAAAAUGGCAAAAUUUGCAUCACCCAGCCACGCCGGGUGGCUGCCAUCACUGUGGCACAGAGGGUUGCCCAUGAGAUGCAGUGCACUUUGGGAAGAGAGGUGGGCUACCAAGUGCGCUUUGACGACUGCACGACGCAGGACACCGUGUUGAAAUACAUGACUGAUGGCUGUUUGCUCAGAGAGGUCCUGGCAGACCCUGGACUGUCUCACUACAGUGUUGUGGUUUUGGAUGAGGUCCACGAACGAAGCCUCAACACCGACAUCCUCUUGGGUUUACUGAAGAAAGUCUUUUCUAAUCCAAAUGAAGCUAUGAAGGGCAGAGCUUUCCCAGUGAAGGUGUUGGUGAUGUCCGCCACCAUGGAAACAGACAAACUUUCAGCCUUUCUUGGUGACUGCCCUGUAUUUACUAUCCCUGGAAGGACUUUUCCUGUCACCUGCACGUUGGGCACUGCUGUGGGACCUAAAGACCUUCAAAGCACGGGCUAUGUGAAAGAGGUUGUGUCUGUGGCCCUGGAUAUUCACACCAGUGAGAAGGCUGGCGAUAUUCUUGUGUUUUUAACAGGUCAAGUGGAGAUCGAACGGGCCUGUGACUUGCUGUUUGAGAAAGCAGAGUCUAUAGACUACCGCUAUGAUGUACAGGACAAAACAGUGGAUGGGCUUCUUAUUUUACCCCUUUAUGGUUCCAUGCCAACUGAACAACAGCGGCAGAUCUUUCAGCCUCCUCCUCCAGGAAUAAGGAAAUGUGUGGUGGCCACCAACAUUGCUGCCACAUCUCUCACCAUCAAUGGCAUAAAGUACAUCAUAGACAGCGGCUUCGUGAAACAACUGAACCACAACUCCAGGGUGGGCAUGGACGUUUUGGAAGUGGUGCCAAUUUCAAAGAGUGAAGCUCAGCAGAGAGCGGGCCGAGCUGGAAGAACCUCAGCUGGCAAGUGUUUUCGCAUCUACACCAAGGAAUUCUGGGAAGAAUGCAUGCCAGAAUAUACCAUUCCUGAGAUCCAGAGGACGAGUCUGACUGCGGUGGUCCUCACUCUCAAGUGCCUGGGUGUUCACGAUGUCAUUCGGUUCCCCUAUCUGGACCCGCCAGAAGAGAGGUUUAUCCUGGAAGCGUUGAAACAGCUCUACCAGUUUGAUGCUAUCGACAGGAGAGGUCGAGUGACUCUUCUGGGGGAACUGAUGGUGGAGUUCCCCCUGCAGCCGGGCCUCACCAGAGCCCUGCUCAAAGCCGCCUCACACGGCUGCCAGGACCUUCUGCUUCCCGUGGCUGCAAUGUUGUCCGUAGAGAAUAUCUUCAUCCGGCCUGGCCAUCCUGAGAAGCAGAAAGAGGCUGAUAAGAGUCACAGAGAACUGGCGGCUACUAGCGGCGGUGUAAACGACUUUGGUACACUUCUUAGUGUGUUUCAACAGUGUAAAUCCAGCGAAAGACCUUCAAUGUGGUGCAAGGAGAAUUGGGUCCACUGGAGGGCGCUCAAGUCUGCUUUUAGUGUGGAGACUCAGCUUCGUGACAUCCUCCUCCGCUUGCAACAAGUAUUAGGAGAGAUUUCCCUGUGGAUAAAUUUGAUGGCAAUAAGAAGGAACUCUUUAGACGGUGUCUGUGCAUGGGAUACUUCACCAAUGUUGCCAGAAGAUCUGUUGGCAAAGUAUUUUGCACAAUGGAUGGUCACGGGUCCAUGGUUCACAUUCAUCCAUCAUCAUCGUCGUUUGAGAGGGAGAUGGAGCUGGAUUGGAUUCUUUUUCAUGACGUGUUGGUGACAUCACGAGUGUACGUCAGGACGGUAUGUCCCAUCCGAUACGAGUGGGUGAAGGAUCUGCUGCCUAAAUUGCACGAGGUAGACGUUUAUGAACUAAGCAGCGUGGCCAGAGAAGAAGUCACUGAUGAAGAGGUUACCAGGUGGGAGACGAGGGAGGCCGCCAAAAGGCAAUCAGAGAUUUCGGCUGAGGAUGCCUUGAAGAAAGUGGAGAAGCGAAACGAUGAAAAUAGUGUCAGUGAUGCACGCGUUCGCUAUCUUCAGCGGAAGCUGCAAAGACAACAGAAUAAAGUUAUCUGAGAAUGUGUUUGUCCUAAUAGUGAGGAGAAACAAUGUACUAGUUCAAAGACAGUACAGCGCAUUCGUAGGAUAGCAAAUGCAAAACUACGUUGCCAUAUGCAUGGAUGUAAUGGACCCGAUUUAGUGUCCAGCAAUUUUUAAUUACAUCCUGACAAUAGAUAUUUUUGAUAAUUUUUUUAAUAAAGCAUAUAUCUUCAUACAUUCCU